rnacentral:rRNA from 1 species
GGUAUAGUUCUUCGGAACUCAGAGACCGGCGCACGGGUGCGUAACGCGUAUGCAAUCUACCUUUCACAGAGGGAUAGCCCAGAGAAAUUUGGAUUAAUACCUCAUAGUAUUAUAGAGUGGCAUCACUUUAUAAUUAAAGUCACAACGGUGAAAGAUGAGCAUGCGUCCCAUUAGCUAGUUGGUAAGGUAACGGCUUACCAAGGCAACGAUGGGUAGGGGUCCUGAGAGGGAGAUCCCCCACACUGGUACUGAGACACGGACCAGACUCCUACGGGAGGCAGCAGUGAGGAAUAUUGGACAAUGGGCGCAAGCCUGAUCCAGCCAUGCCGCGUGCAGGAUGACGGUCCUAUGGAUUGUAAACUGCUUUUGUACAGGAAGAAACACUGGUUCGUGAACCAGCUUGACGGUACUGUAAGAAUAAGGAUCGGCUAACUCCGUGCCAGCAGCCGCGGUAAUACGGAGGAUCCAAGCGUUAUCCGGAAUCAUUGGGUUUAAAGGGUCCGUAGGCGGUUUAGUAAGUCAGUGGUGAAAGCCCAUCGCUCAACGGUGGAACGGCCAUUGAUACUGCUAAACUUGAAUUAUUAGGAAGUAACUAGAAUAUGUAGUGUAGCGGUGAAAUGCUUAGAGAUUACAUGGAAUACCAAUUGCGAAGGCAGGUUACUACUAAUGGAUUGACGCUGAUGG